rnacentral:tRNA from 1 species
AUUCUCGUGAUGCAGUGGUAACGUGCCUGUCUAGUGAAUAGGAGUCGUGAGUUCGAAUCUCACCGAGAGAA